rnacentral:rRNA from 1 species
GAUAACGUAGGGAAACUUACGCUAAUACCGCAUACGACCUACGGGUGAAAGCAGGGGAUCUUCGGACCUUGCGCGAUUGAAUGAGCCGAUGUCGGAUUAGCUAGUUGGCGGGGUAAAGGCCCACCAAGGCGACGAUCCGUAGCUGGUCUGAGAGGAUGAUCAGCCACACUGGAACUGAGACACGGUCCAGACUCCUACGGGAGGCAGCAGUGGGGAAUAUUGGACAAUGGGCGCAAGCCUGAUCCAGCCAUACCGCGUGGGUGAAGAAGGCCUUCGGGUUGUAAAGCCCUUUUGUUGGGAAAGAAAUCCAGCCGGCUAAUACCCGGUUGGGAUGACGGUACCCAAAGAAUAAGCACCGGCUAACUUCGUGCCAGCAGCCGCGGUAAUACGAAGGGUGCAAGCGUUACUCGGAAUUACUGGGCGUAAAGCGUGCGUAGGUGGUCGUUUAAGUCCGUUGUGAAAGCCCUGGGCUCAACCUGGGAACUGCAGUGGAUACUGGGCGACUAGAGUGUGGUAGAGGGUAGCGGAAUUCCUGGUGUAGCAGUGAAAUGCGUAGAGAUCAGGAGGAACAUCCAUGGCGAAGGCAGCUACCUGGACCAAC